UCACAACUGUCAUCACUUUUGAAUACAAGAUUCAAGAAUCAAACCGGCCUCUCUCUGACUAAAGAGCAUUUCGAUUAUUUACACAAAAAACUCAACCCCAACCCACUUACGAACCCUGAAGAUGAUUUGAUUUCAUUUUCACAACUAUGUCAGAGUCCAUUACCGGAUCAAGAAUUCACGUUUUACGCGUGGUUUCAUGGCAUCAUGAAAUUGAUUCAAAACCACCUUCGUAAUCAGUGGCAAGCAGGACUUAUAAUUGGCUUCAUUGCAAGAGGGGAAGCUGAACAAUUACUUUUAAAAUGUACGCCAGGCACAUUUUUACUGCGAUUCCCUGAAUCUGUAAUUGGUGGUGUAUCCGUUACGUCGGUGCAGAAAAAUGAUGAAGGACAACUCGAAGUGUGCAUGUAUGAACCACUUUGCCGAGAAGAUCUAGAUCGUCGACGAACAAAAUUUUCUGAUGUUAUCCAACAAUCAUCGAAAUGGACACAUUUAUACCCAAAUAUUCCAAAAGAGAUAGCAUUCUCAGAUGAUUUUAGCUGUCAUUCUAGAAUUGAAAGUUCUUUUUAUUGAACAUUUUUUUCACCCAUCCUGAAGACUAUCCUUAUAUCAACUAUCACCAACUAUCAGACCAACUAUCCUUUACGGAAGCGAGAGCUGGGUCGAUUCUCAAAAUUUAAUUCAUGGAUUGGAAGUGGCUGAUAUGAAAGUUUUGCGAAUGAUUUCUGGAGUAUUGCGUAGAGAUCAAUGGGAAAAUCGUAUCAGAAAUGAAAGAAUUCGAGAUUAUUUGAAUGUUGAGUCCACGCUCUGCUCGCACUCCAUUUAAAGCAAUGUAUUGGGUUUCGAACACGCAGAUGUGCUGCCACCUGGUAUCUCAAAGUUAAGCUGCUAUAACCCACAUGCUUCUUGUAAAUGAAGAAGAAGAGGAAAGCAAUGUCUUUACAUAGGGUUGAACUUAUAAAUGUCAGAGAGCAGCACAACUGCAGUGUUUAAAGUGCGAUUGCCCUUCAGUUGAGUCGGUUGAUGAUGUAGCAAGAAAGUCUAGAUUGAGAUGGUUUGGUCAUGUCCAACGUAUGAAUGAGUCUAGUUUGCCAAAGAAGGUUUUGUAUGCUGAUGCAGAUGGACCGAGAAAUAGGGGAAGACCUCGUAGACGUUAUUUGGAUUCGGUUAAAUGUGAUUUGGAUGUUAGAGGGUAUGAUUGGCGUAGAGAGACUCAAGACCUGGCUCUCGAUAGGGAAGUUUCGAGAGGAAUUGUUAGAGGAAUUUGAGUCUAGUCGUUUCGUAAAAGACCACACACCGAAAGGUAUAAUCGGUCUAUAAAUGAUUGUUGUUGUUGUUGUUGUUAUCCUGUAGACCAUUUUUUAAUCUUCACUCAUGGCAUAGUCUGAUCAA